GAUGAACGCUGGCGGCGUGCCUAAUACAUGCAAGUCGAGCGAACAGAUGAGGAGCUUGCUCCUCUGACGUUAGCGGCGGACGGGUGAGUAACACGUGGAUAACCUACCUAUAAGACUGGGAUAACUUCGGGAAACCGGAGCUAAUACCGGAUAAUAUAUUGAACCGCAUGGUUCAAUAGUGAAAGACGGUUUUGCUGUCACUUAUAGAUGGAUCCGCGCCGCAUUAGCUAGUUGGUAAGGUAACGGCUUACCAAGGCAACGAUGCGUAGCCGACCUGAGAGGGGUGACGGCCCACAUGGGAACGGACACCCGCCCAGCGCCCCUGGGGGGGGCGACGGUGGGAAUUCUCCCGAAAGGGGCAAAGCCCGGACGGGGAACCCCCGCGUGGGGAAGAAGGUUCUCCGGACCUAAAACCUCUUUUAUGGGGAAAAAAAAAUUGUGAAGGUAACUAGCCCCGUCUGGACGGUCCCAAACCAGAAACCCCCGCCUACUUCCG
rnacentral:rRNA from 1 species